rnacentral:lncRNA from 1 species
AUAAAAUGAAGUCUGAAAGUAAAAUGGGGUGUGUAAUAUUAAUCUGGGCUCUUUAUAACAACAACAACAGCAACAACAACAAAAACAGGUGUCCAUAGGUCUGUGGAUUUAUUUCUAGUUCUUCAAUUCUAUUUCUUGAUCUAUGUGUCUGUUUUUAUGGCCAUGUCAUAUUGUUUUUAUUACUAUAUUUUGUAGUUAACUUGAAAUCAAGAAUGGUGAUACCUCCUGCAGUUCUAUUGCUCAGAAUUGUUUUAGCUAUCCUGGGCUUUUUGUGUUUGGAUGCAAAACUGAGUAUUGCCUAUAAAAUAUCUGUGAAGGCAUGUAUUGGAAUGUGAUAGAUAUUGCAUUGAAUCCAUAGAUUGUUUUGGUAGGAUGGCUACUUUUUACUCAGGGGAAUCUUUCCAUUUUCUGAUAACCUCUUUCAAUUUUCUUGUUCAAGAUUUUGACUUUUUAUUAUACAUUAUUUUACUUGCUUAGCUAGACUCGCCUCAGUAUAUUUUAUAUCAUUUGAGGCUGUUGUGAAAGGUAUUGUUUCUGUGGUUUCUUUUUCAGUCCAUUUGUAUGUAGGAGGGCUACUGAUUUUUGUGAAAUGGUUUUGUAUCCAGCUACUUUUCAGAAUGUGUUUGUCAGUUGUAAGAGUUCCCCAGUGGUACUUGAUCUCCUUCUGCUGUCUUACUGCUCUAGCUAGGACUUCAAGAACUACAUUGAGAGCUGGGUGUGGUGGCGCACACCUUAAUCCCAGCACUCGGGAGGCAGAGGCAGGCAGAUUUCUGAAUUUGAGGCCAGCCUGGUCUACAAAGUGAGUUCCAUGACAGUCAGGGCUAUACAGAGAGACCCUGUCUCAAAAAAUAAAAAAACAAACAAACAAACAAAAGGAAUUACAUUGAGUACAUUGAGUAGGUAUAAAGAGAGUAGACAACCUUGUCUUGUUCCCAGUCUUAGUGGACUUGCUUUGAGUUUCUCUGCAUUUUAUUUGGUUAUAUCAAUAAGUUGCCUAUAUUAUGGUGAGGUAUGUCCCACGAAUCCCUAAUCUGUCCAAGACUGUUAUCAUGAUGGGGUUUGUCAAAGGCCUUUCUCCAUCUAAUGAGAUGACCGUAUGGUUUUUGUUUUCAGUUUGUUUAAACUCUGUAUUUCAUUUACUGACUUAUGUAUGUUGAACCAUCCCCGCAUCUUUGGGAGGAAACCUUCUGUUCUUGAAUUCAGUUUGUUUUAAGUUUUUAUUGAAUAUGUUUACAUCUAUGUUCACAAGAUAAAUUUGUCUGUAAUUACUUUU